UACUCCUACGGGAGGCAGCAGUGGGGAAUUUUGGACAAUGGGGGCAACCCUGAUCCAGCCAUGCCGCGUGCGGGAAGAAGGCCUUCGGGUUGUAAACCGCUUUUAGUCGGGAAGAAAAGGUUAUCCCUAAUAAGGAUGACUCUUGACGGUACCGGCGGAAUAAGCACCGGCUAACUACGUGCCAGCAGCCGCGGUAAUACGUAGGGUGCGAGCGUUAAUCGGAAUUACUGGGSGUAAAGCGUGCGCAGGCGGUUCGUUAAGUUCGUUGUGAAAGCCCCGGGCUCAACCUGGGAAUGGCAAUGGAAACUGGCGGGCUUGAGUAUGGCAGAGGGGGGUGGAAUUCCGCGUGUAGCAGUGAAAUGCGUAGAGAUGCGGAGGAACACCGAUGGCGAAGGCAGCCCCCUGGGCCAAUACUGACGCUCAGGCACGAAAGCGUGGGGAGCAAACAGGAUUAGAUACCCUGGUAGUCCACGCCCUAAACGAUGCUCACUAGGUGUUGGGGAAGSGAUUCCUUGGUACCGUAGCUAACGCGUGAAGUGAGCCGCCUGGGGAGUACGGCCGCAAGGUUAAAACUCAAAUGAAUUGACGG
rnacentral:rRNA from 1 species